ACAAAGCCUAUAAGUUGUUGAUUAAUAAUACCUUUCCUAAGAAAAAUUCAAAUCCAAUCACAAUAAUAAUGCAUUCAUUACAUGUUGUCAUAAUUUCAAUGUGAUGAUUAGUUGUUGAUUAAUAAUACCAUACCCGAAAACCUCACAUUAUGGAGGACCGGAGCCAAAAGUUGCUAUCAUUGGAGCUGGGCUUGCAUGGCAUCUGUAACAUUAUGGAGGACCGAAGCCAAAAGGUGCCAAAGGUAAGCACCAAAAGGACUGUUUCCUCCUGAUCCGAAACAUUAAGGUUAUUCCAAAUUCAGUAUCAUUAGAGUGGUGAUGAUAUCUAAUCAAAUCCAAACAGCAAAUAACUACAUCAGUUACCCGUGUGAUAUCUACUAUAUUCUUCCUUUGACCCUUUAAUUAUAAAUUAAUUUAGUACUUCAUCACUUUAUUACUGUUAGUAAAUUCCCAUGUGAAAUUAGAUUUUUGUUAAGCCAUAAGUCAGAAUAUAGGAGUCAUCAAGUUAAAAUAGUAAAAUUGAUACUCUGUUAGCUACCAUUUGAGCUUCCGGUUUGUUAAACAUUACAAAUUAGAUUUUUGUUUAGACAUUCAACAAUAUAUGAAAAGCAAUAAUCAGAUGAAAAUACUUCAACAUGGGAAGAUUGUGGAGUUCCAUGUCAUUUGAAUAUCUAUGUUCUAGAGAUGAUCUAUGGUUAACUAUCAUACAAAGAGCUCACGAGAUAUGUUUAUUUUUUUUAGGAAACUAUUUACUACUAUUUAUUUAUUUAUUUAUUUAAAUUGUUGGUAUUAUAAUGGACUUAUAGUCGUGGACAACUGCACGUAUAAUGUAUUCAUCUCAUGGUGAUACUAUUUAUUUAGAUUUGCUUGAAUAUAAGCUCCUUUAACUUGAUCAAUUAGCUGGCAGUAACUUAUAUAGGAGCUGCAAUGGAUUUGGAAAUUCCUCGACAUCGAACAUGGAACCAAAGAGGAUGUUGAAGGUGAUAAGCAGAAAAUAAUAAGAGAACCAUUGUUAGGGGAAAACAACAACCAACUUAUCCAUGGAACCAAAGAUCCAUCAAGAUAAUCAUUGGAUGUAGUAAAAGACAGUCAUCUCUGAAGCUAUUCAGUUGGAUUGUUUGACUGACUUCUUGUAACUAGCAUUUAUAUGAGAAGAUGUUUUAAAAUUGGAAAUAGCAUUAUUAUCUUACACAAUCAUGAGUUUUGCAGGUUCAGUUAUCCCUGCUUCUAAGAGUCGAUUCAUUGAGCUAAUUGCAGUUUACCGUGAAAUUUGUGUACAGGUUCCGCCUAGGCAGUGGAAGGGUGUUUUAAUCGAUCUUGCAGGUAUAAUUUGGAGAUCUUGUGGAGCAAUUUCAAUUGGGAAGUAAAAGCGUAAGGAUGAAAUUUCAGAUUGAGAUCAAAUUUCUUUAGGAGUUAUUGACGCUGUCUCAAAUUUCUCUCUUCGGCCCUUUUAUCAGAAUCUUCUUUGGAGGAGUUCCACCAUACCCUUUGUACAACCGUCUUGCUUCAGCUCUAUUGAGGUAUAUGGAUUCCCAAGCAUUUUGUAGUACAAGCUGCAAUUUAGAAAUAUUGAACAAUGAAUUUGAGAAUUCUUCAAUGCAGCAAAAACACAAUCAAUGGCAGAAUUUAAUUCUGGACAAGGGGUCUGAAAUAGUCAAUGUAUUACUAGUGUUAUCUGAACUUUUAGAUUUCUGAUUAGGUUGGUUCCAAUGUAAAUAUAUAUA